UGUGUAGGUGGCACGCUAAGUCGGGUGUGAAAUUUCGGAGCUUAACUCCGAAACUGCAUUCGAUACUGACGUGCUUGAGGACUGGAGAGGAGACUGGAAUUCAUGGUGUAGCAGUGAAAUGCGUAGAGAUCAUGAGGAAGACCAGUGGCGAAGGCGGGUCUCUGGACAGUUCCUGACACUGAGACACGAAGGCCAGGGGAGCAAACG
rnacentral:rRNA from 1 species